UACGUAGGGUGCGAGCGUUGUCCGGAAUUAUUGGGCGUAAAGAGCUCGUAGGCGGUGUGUCACGUCGGCCGUGAAAACCUGCAGCUUAACUGUGGGCGUGCGGUCGAUACGGGGCAUCACUGGAGUUCGGCAGGGGAGACUGGAAUUCCUGGUGUAGCGGUGAAAUGCGCAGAUAUCAGGAGGAACACCGGUGGCGAAGGCGGGUCUCUGGGCAGUAACUGACGCUGAGGCACGGAAGGCCAGGGGAGCAAACGGG
rnacentral:rRNA from 1 species